GUAUUUCUUGUACUGGGAUCGUUAAUUUGUUGGCGAUGGACACGCAUCCUGGCUGUUAGUUUGUCCAAUAUAUUCCUCGCCACACCCGUUGCAAAUAAUGCAGUAUAGUAAGUUUUUCGACUUGCAUGAUAUGUUAUCAUUUACAGUAAAAUAUUUUCCGCAUUUAAAAGUAAUAGAAGGUACUGUUUUUAGGAAGGGACAUGUACCACACCUUGAGUCACCACAUGUAGAAACUGCGUAUUUUUCAGGCGUUGAAUUGAAUUUGGCUUUUGUUAAUAUUUUUUUCAAGUUAGAUGGUUGUCUUUGGCUGUGAAGUAGGUCGGAUUUGGGAAUAAUUUUUUGAAGUUCUAAAUCACGCUUGAUAACUGUAAAAUUCUUCUUAGCUUCCUGAAAGAUAUUUAUAUGUUUUGGGUUGUAAGUUGUCAUAAAUGGUAUUAGGAAAGGAUCGUGUUCUUUUUCUCUUGUUGUUCUAAGUGUAUGCUGUGGAAUUUUCUUUGCUUCAUUUAUCGCUGAAAGAAUGAGUGUUUCCGGAUAAUUCUGCGCAGUAAGAAAUAUUUUCAAUUUCGCCAGUCUUUGGUCUUUAGUAUUUUCAUCUUUAACAAUAGUGUAAAUCCUUCUGGCCAAAUUGUACGGUUUUAUAUUUUGGGAAAAAUCCGAAGAAGACCUGAUCAAGUUUCACAAUUUGUUGAAUACGCUCAAUCCAAAUAUCCAGUUUACCAUGGAAUACAGUGAUACUUCGAUUCCUUUUUUGGACAUCAAGGUGAUAAAACAUGAAACCAACAUCCUAACUGAUAUAUUUUACAAAACAAAAAACAACAAAAAACGGACACACACCAAUAUUUGAAUUUCAAACCAUGUCAUCCUACACACACUAAAAGGAAUAUCCCGACAAAAUAGCAUGGCGCUUUCCCCGCGAUACAACCAUCAGAACAUGUACAUGUACGCUGUGACGUACUUUUACAUUUUGACGUCAUAUGGUGCGAAGUGCACAGAGGUACAUUUAUAACAGCACCGUGAUUUUGCGUUCAACAUUUGAUGAAUCAAUUUAGCUACUUCAAUGCAAAUUGCCUUAUAAUCAUGGACGGAUGUGGGAUUCAGUUUAGAGAGGAUUAGAAAAAAUCUGAGACGAGGGGGCGGGUGACAGCUUUUAGGUGCUCGAUGGGAAUAAUUUGUUAAUCGGGGAUGGACGCAUAUAUUUUGUGCUUAUAUCCAUUGAUUUAUUAUCAUAUAUCGUGAUUCAAUUUCUUCACGAUGAAAUAAAUUAAUAUUUACAUCAGUCUUCAUGAUAACUUUUCUGAGACGCUAUUCAUACUAACUAGCUAAUUGAAUAGAUUUAUUUGCUCGUUGUCCUUAUGAAUUUGUUUGCUAGUCCGUAAAUAAAAACACACAUGUAACAGAAACAUCAGACACGAUUUAUAUGGAUGCAUCUAUAACACAGGGACAUGUAUUAAAAAAUUGAGAUUGUUAACAAACACAAAUCAGACUUUUAAAAAUAAAAAAAUAAAUUGUCAUCGAUUUUUUUCAAUCCAAACACUUUAUUGAUCGAAAAUUUUCCCCUAGCUAUACCAGCUAGUGCUGAGACAAUUUCUAGACGCGAGUAGUCUCGGGGAGUCGGCUAGUUCAUCUGCACGAGCUUUAAUGGAGAGUGCUACAUUGUACAUGUAUAAAUUUAUUAUGAACAUAUUUUGUCAGUAUCAAUGUUUUCUCUGAACGUCCUCGAUAUACAUGUUCUAAUACUUGUAAGUGGUGUACGUUUUACGAUAUUUUGACACACACCUGUUGAUUUUGAAUAAAUGUUGUAAGUUUUGCUGCAUUUGUAACCGGACACAUUCAACAUUGAAUCCUAAAGUGGCAUGCAAACGUUGAGAUUAAACAUUCAAUUUCAAUACAUAGGAUGUUUUUGGUAUUAAAGAAAAAAAAUUACAUUGAAGAGAUUGACGGUAUAUAAGUUACACAUUGAAGAAAUCGACGUUAUAUAUUUGUAUGCAUCUAUUUCAUCAAAUAUUUUAAUUUAAAUUGUACUCUGACAAAAGGACACAUAGAUGUAUAUGCAAGGUGAAGAUAACGAACAGUGAUCAAUCUCAUAACUCCUAUAAGCAAUACAAAAUAGAUAGUUGGGCCAUAUAUAAGAUGGAUCAUUACUCGUUAUCUUCACUUUUCCAUCAAUGAUAUGGAAGGUGAAGAUAACGAACACUGGUGAAUCUCAUAACUCUUUAAGGAAUACAAAAUAGAGAGUUGGGCAAAGAUGAACCCCUGGAUAUACGAUCGGUGGGACCAGGUGUCUAGGAGGAGUAAGCAUUCCCUGGCGACCGGUCAAACCCGCCAUGAGUCCUAUAGCUUGAUAUAUUGAAUGCUUAACACUGUUUCCAUCCAAUUGAGACAUUAUAUGGUGUUGUGAAUAGUACAGUCAACGAUAAGAGAAUGGAAGGUAUAACAUAAUCCAAUCAUAUGAUAGCUCAUUUUGUUCAUGUAUGCAUACUGAAAGAUUUUACAUAGGUUGUAAGAAAGUGGUGCUUAUACACGUGGUUUUCUCUAUUUUUCCUUUCAAAGUUUUUGACAAAUUGGAACAAAGUUAGUAAGAUGUGUAUUGUGUAAACAGAUCAACAACUCCCAUGAUAGAAUGAUUUGUAUAACUCAUUGAAUCUAUAAUGACGAUUAUUGUUUAUUUACCAUUCAUUAUACAGUACAAUCAAUAUCUAGUUAAAUUGUAUGAAGUUUUGAUUUUCAAAAAUCCAAUUUACAAACGGAUAUUAUCUUUAAUAUUUACUACAGUUGGUAUUCAAUCUAUUUUUAAUAGUGCUAAUUUCACUUUCAUUUGGGAAAUAAAUACAUGAUCAUAUUAGGAUUUUUUUUAAUCCAAAAGACUCUGUAUCAUAAUAGCAUGUUCGACAUAUGAAUUUUAUAUCCCUUUGAAGUGAACCAGAAAAUGUAGACUGAUAUUCACGCAAUCGAUUGACAGAUAUGUUUCAAUGAGAUUAUUCUGAGCAUAAAAGGCCAAUAUUUGCAGAUUUGUAUAGUGCAUAUAGUUAAGUUUUUUACUUCUUAACUUCGUAUUUCUGAUAGGAGCUACGAUAUUACUUAUUGUUUAUUUAUCGUCACCGUUUCCUCAUUGUACAGUAUUAAUUAUCAAAAAAUAUUAAAGGGGAAAGCCGGCGCUCUAAAUUCUCGGCAGAGAAAAUAAGUGCUUUGUCAUUAGGGAGGAAGGAUAGACCAUGCUUAAACAAAUACACAGGAAUGGGAGCACUCUGAAUGAUCAAAAUAAUGAACUCGGUACUGUACCACUGCAACUUCCGGAGAGAAAGAAAAACAGCGUGGGUACUUAUUGAAUAUCCCUACUAGAAUCUUUACAAGGCUAUUUAUCAUUUCAUAAUUCAAAUUCAAAACAAUAAAAUCCAUGUAUCACUCGCUUUCUGUUAAGUGAAGGAGAAGAAAGAAAUUUUAUAGAAAAAAAUUAAGGAAGUAGACCAAUAUGAGAAUAUAUUCAAAACCAGGUUUUCUCAUGUCAAAUGUUACUGUUUGGUAUCGUUUUAAUUAUAUAAAUACAUUGAAAACAAUAUAAUGCAUAUUAUAAAAAAACUGGGUUUUUUUUUUAAAUAAAUAACUACAGCAUUUAUUUUACCCCGACCAGUUUUCACACCUCCUGAAAGGAAACCAAUAACCACAGCAUUUAUCGGGACUACUUAAUACUGAUUGUAUUUUCUCAGUAUUUAUCAACAAAUAUCAAAAUCCACAGUACAAAUGACAAUAAGAAUCAACAUGUCACUGUACCAAUAAAAUAUCAAUAACAACAGUGAAAACACCAUUAAUCAGAAUGCAUCAGUACUGACAGAAGAAUAACAGUGAUUAUCAACAUUUAUCAGUAAAACAUAUCAUUCUCGGUGCAUUUUCCGUACAGCAUUUGAAAAAAAAAAAAAAAAAUCCACGUAGACAUAACUGUUUCCUGUUCUGCCAUUAUCGUAAACUCCUCUGUAAUGUUAGAAUUAUGACAUCUAAGUAGUCAUUACAGUACUUAAAAAUGUAUUCCUUUAGUGAAGAGAGUGUGUAUUCUUUCAAUUGUAUAGAUGCAAAAUAUCACAUCUCUAUCUGAUUAUCUAUGGGAAGAGCCCACACUUCAAGAAUAUUGACAUAGUAUUUAAUAAUGCAGGUGUGAAAUUGCUGUAUAUACAACCUUAUGACAGCAUACAACGUCCAUAACUGUUGAUCAUUUUAACUUUUAUAUCCCUAUCCUUGCUUUGUGAUGAUGUUCACUAAAUUUUAUGAAUCUUUUAUUUGUCUAUUGCUGACAAGUUAACAAUAAGACAUAAAAUAAGCUGGUAUAUUCAAGGGUCCGUGGUUAUCCACCUCUCUAUUUUGUAUUGUCUAUAGGAGUUAUGAGAUUGAUCAAAGCUUGUUAUCUUCACCUUUGUAAACUAUGAAAUACUUUUCAUUUGCUUCUCUCUUUUUUUUUGAUUAGUUGUAACAUAUUGAUUAUCAUGCACAAUCUUCAGUUGCCUUUGCAGAUGUUAAAACACAUAUGCGUACGUGGGAUAAUGCACGAAAGGUAAAUAUAACGAUCAGUGAUCAAUCUCAAAAUUCUCAUAAGAAAUACAAAAUAGAGAGUUUGGCAAAAACGGACCCAUGGGUAUACCAGAGGUGGAAACAGGUGACCAGGAAGAGUGAGAACUCCAUGUCAUCCCGUCACACAUGCUGUGAGUCAUAUGUCUUGAUCAGGUAAACAGAGUAAUCAGUAGUCAAAUCAGAGUGCCAAAACGGUCUUACAAUGAAUAUGAAGGAAGUCAAACAUCAUUUGACCCAAUGAUAUGGUGUAUUGGAAAACUACAUAUAAAUGUAGAUCAUAAUAGCUACCAUAUAAGUUGCGAAAUGCUGACUUUAAACGGAACUGUUUAAACCCCUGUAACAUUAACUUGUUUGACAUCAGCCUGUCUUUUAACAAAACAAUGAAAUAUUAAUAUGUGUUAAAGUCACUACUUGUUCAUUCUUUCUACAAUAAAAUUCCUUAGUGUUACUGCUUCCCUUCUUUCUUUUUUAUUCUUUGAAUGAUCUAUUUGACUGCUCUUUCUUAAAAAUAUUUCUACCUUUGCUUUUGUUCAAAAUUUUAUCACUAAAUUAUCACUAUGGUGUUUCCAUAAAAUGCCAUAGAUUUCAAAACAUACCAUUUGUUAUGUAAAAUGUAAUUUAAUAAUGUGUAGAACUAGAACACAAACAGGAUCUAAAAAUUAAGAGGAUGUCGGGAUGUAUUACUGAUUAAGGUAGAAAGAACGAAUAUUGUGUCCAAUGCUAUCUCAUGUGCUAUGACACUCUUAAUUUUUCAAUCAUUACUUGUUUGCGCAUAAUCUACAUCAAUUUUUUUAUUGACAUUUCCAGAUAUCCCUGUUUGUAAAUCUGUAAUUUUCCAAAACCAUUUUUCUGUAAGAUGUUUAUUUGAUUAUCUGAUAGAUCAAUCUGGAUCCAUUAAGCAUUUUAUAUUUCAAAUUGUAUUACAUAUCAUGAAACAAAGCUCCGCUAUUUAUAGAAGAGUGUUAAAGGACACAACGCAUGUUUCUAAACUUUUUCAUUUUUUCAGCAAAAUUAAUUCUUCUUAUGCCUAAAACUUCUUGCAUGUAAUUUUGUAUACUUUGAAAACAUGAGAUGUGUCCUUUAAUCAUCAUGGUGAUAUGUAGAUAUCUGAUAUUUUGCUCGUAUUUCAAAACAUCCGACCAGUCGCGGUAUCUCAUUAGUACUUGGGCGAGUCAAUAGGUAACCAGCCCAUUCCAUUACCGAUUGAUCGAGACGGUCACGAUUUUCAUGCCUUGUUUUAAUAUAUGUUUUAUACCUGGGUACAAAAUUGCACGCGUAUCGAGUCAUUCUUUAAUAAGAUAUUGAAUGUCAAACAUGGCUAGAGAUGUAAAGGCAUGCCUUUCAUCUAAAGUUGAAUACCGUGUUAUAAUUCGGUACUUGCAUUUAAAAGGUAAAACAUGCAAGGAAAUACAUGGCGAGUUAGCCGAUGGUUAUGGGUCUUCUGCACCAUCUUAUGCUCAGGUUAAAUUCUGGAUAGGGGAAUUCAAACGCAGUAGAACGUCUUUAGCAGAUGAAGUCAGGUCUGAACGCCCACUGGAUGCCACCGGCGAAGAAAUGUGUAAGAAAGUUCGGGAUAUAAGCAGAUCGGGACGUGCAGGGGUUGGCAUGUUAAAGAGUCCUCACUGUUACGACUUUAGCGUUAGGUAUAGUUCUGAAUUAAUAGUGCUUCAACUUUAGCUGGUGACGUUUCAACAUAAGUUAAAUUCUCGACGGGACGUAAAACAAUCAGCCUUCUAACCAACUAACCGUCUAUGUUUCAAGUUUCAACAUUUCAUUGUUAACUUUGAUUAUGAAUUAUCAAUUUGGCAAACAAGUAAUACUAGUAAUCGCAACACUUCAUUUGAAUGAUAUGACCAGAACAAUCAAUGAAUUAUCUGUUUCUCAAACUCUAUUAAAAUAUUUUAGUACUUCAAAUAAAAUCGAUACUGCUUUGUUGAAUUAAUAAAUUUGCAGGCAUUUAAUUUUGCUAAGUGAAACAUUCUAAGUGGUUUGCUCCUUUCUCCAUUGAACUUUUUGCAUAGAUUGUGAACACUUUCAAUGUUUGUCGUACAGACUCUGAUGUGUACUACUACGCCAGUGGAACAGUGAACGAAUGAUGAACGGUUUAGGGACGAACGGUUCUGUUUGGGGGAACGAACGUUUAACAGUUUGAAGGGAAGGGUUCUCAGCCAGAACGGAACUGUUUAUAUCUGGAACGGAACACAUUGAGAUGGAAAACGAACGUUUUCUUCGGUCCAAAAAUGAGAACGAACGGUUUGGCUUCGAUUUCAAAUUCUACAUUUGGGACAAUUUUGGUACUUUUUAUUCAUAUAUAUACAUUGCGGAAAAGAAAGAUAGUACGUGUCAAAAAAGUUUAAUUUGAUCGAUAUAAUGAAUAUUUUAAAAAAGAAGGAAGGGGGAGGGAAGUAUAUUAAUACAUACAAUUACAUGUGCCUUACAUUACAUAUGGGGAUAUUUAUGUUCCCCAAACAAAGUUUGGGAACAUAUUGUUUUUACUCUGUUUCUUCUUCUCCUUAUUAGGGUCUUCCGAGCUUCCUUCGGAAGGGUGACCCUUCUGUUAUUCUACUGUUUCUUAUUAUUAUUAUGUCUCCGAACACAAAGUGUCGGAGACAUAUUGUUUUUGCUCCGUUUCUUAUUAUUAUUAUUAUUAUUUUCUUCUUAUUCUUAUUAUUCCUCUUCUUUAGUGAGAAAUUUGUCCGACCGAUUUUGUGAAAGUGCUUCGACAGAUCCACUUCAAACUUUGUGAGCUGAUAGGGGGUCACUAGGAGGGGUGCAUUCAACUUUUCAAAAUGGCCGCCCUUUCAAGAUGGCGGCCAAAAAACGUCAAAAACUCAAGGUUGUCGGAUUUCAAUUAAAAAAAUCGAUUUCUAGGGUAAUUUAGUGACCCCUAGUCCAUUUCCACCAUCAAAAUUUUUUUUUGAGCCGCCAUUUUCAAAAUGGCCGCCAUAUACCGAAAUAUUUGAAAGUGUUAAAAUCUCUACAACAUUUGGGUUCUGGGGUAAAUGGAGGGUCCACAAUUCAUUUCUAGCAUCAGUAUAUCCUUCCAAUCAAUUUUCAAAUGUUUCAAAAUGGCCGCCAUUGAAGAAAAUGGCGGCCAAAAAUCAAGUCCGUUGGAUUUCAACCAAAUUCAGUUUUUAGGGUUUUUUGAGAAUCCUGAGUGCGUAUCUGGCAUCAAAAAGCAUUUCUGACAUGGGGAGGUGUUCGGAGACAUUUGUGUUGGCAUCCCAACACAGUUAUAGCUCGUUUUAUUUUUUUCCCCCGCUUUUUUUGUAGAGGCGAUUUCUCGGAAACCUUUUAUCUGAUUAUUAUGAAACUUUCAGUGUAGAUACAUUGUAUUAAGACCUAAAAACGGUUUUUUUCAAAUUUUUGAUAUGUACUUCCGUUUACGAGUUAUUGCCCUUUAAUUGAAUUUUGGGGGGGGGGUCUUUUGUCCACCAGAAAUCUCAGGAACUACAAAUGAUAUCAGCAAGAAAAUUGGAGAAAAUGUAGGUAAGGUAUUGUAGUUGUGCAGGAAGUUAAAAUUAUUGGCUAAACUUUUUAACUUCAGAAGCUAUGUGAUGGCAAAUUUUGAGAAUUUUUUUCCCAUAGAAUUUUGUUGCUUUUUGUGUAAUAUCUUUUAAGCUGGUAGUAAUUUGGUAAGACAUAUAGAACAAAAGUUGUGUGUAAUUACAAGAGCUUUCUAAUGAAAUCAAGAAAAAGGGGCUGGCCCCUAUAUUUAGGGGUCAGCAGCUCAUAAACGUGUUUUUUUAAUACUUAAAAAUGUUGACAUAUAUUGAAAAAGUUUGAAUGAAAUAAUCUUUAGGAUAUCAAAUCUUGUCAUUUGGUAUGAUAAGAAACAAGCUUUGUGCUAUAUUUAUUUCUAUUUCAUAAAAGAAAUGUGUGAGAAUCGUACAGGAACAAGUUGUCUGUACAAGCCCGCCAAGCUGUUUCGGGGCCUCAUGCUUGUGAAGUGCUUAGAUAGUUGAUUUAGAUACAUUGUUUUGAUUCGACUUCUCUUUUUUAAUUUAUUUAAAUAAUUAACAAAAUGCAAUGUUUUUACACGAUGAACUGUUAAACAUCAUGUAUGUAUGUAUGUAUGUUAUCAGUGCAGAGCAAGUCUUUCCUUUACGGGGCCUCCUGGAUGUAAACAUUCACGAGAGGCAUUGUGGGAAGGCCAGAGAAUUGUGAUGUGUACAUUUUAUCACCGUAUGUAGACAUGUAUAUUCAUUGUACAGCUACGAGCACAUGAACUGCCCUCGAUUACGCACUUGGAGCAUUAGUCAAUACUAACGAAGGAUAUAUUGUUGUCUGAAUCGUUUACCAUGUUUCGACUACGAGAAAAUUCUGACGGUCAUAUUUGCAAUGGAUUGAUAAACACAUAAAGAUACAGUGCAGAUAUAUUUAUAAACUGUCCCCAGUGAUAUUGUAACUAGUAAGGAAAAGUUAAUGGUGACACUUUAAUGUGUGAUGGAAUUGGACGUUGCUAAAAAGAUUUGGUGCCGUUGACCACCCCUGGACUUGGAGGUGAAAGUCCUCCCAGGGGCAAAUAAGAACUUGGGUUGCGUCUUCGAGGGCGAAGACAAUUUAAGGAGGGAGGAAUGUAAUGGUUCUGGCCGUGGAUAUCGGCCUGGGUAGCUCAGUCGGUAGAGCACCUGACUAGUGAUGCAGGGGUCCCGGGUUCGAUUCCCGGUCCAGCCAUACAUUUUCUCCUUUCCUGUUACAUAUAUAUAUAGAGACAAUUUCUUUUCCUUUUUUUCUUUUUUGGCAUCUUAUUUUAGGCCUACAGUAUUAAUUUUGGGCUCAUUUACUAGGAAUAUUAUAACUUUAUUGGAAUUGUCCCACUGAAUUAAAGGGAACUCUUUUUUCAGGUGCGCAUGAUGCAACUUCCUGGAUGGUGUGUAGUCUGUUUGUCAACAUGUGAAACCCACGUGUAUUUUGAGGAGUAGCCUCCCCUGUUAAAGAUCAAUAAUGGUGGAUAAACAAUUCAGGAUGCUGUCAUGUCAUCAACAGAGAGUUUUGACACUCGUAUACCCGUAUUUCUACCAAUCACCUCUGUAACCUUUGUUGUGUUCAUCAGACAGAUGAUGGACCACUCUACUUCCUUUUACAACAGGUGCCCCUACAGAUUCACAAAGUUCCAAUGUUGAUUUUCCAUGACCCCCAUUCAUCUGCGACAGGAAAAGGAAUGAAGUUGACAGGAUUUCCCGCAUUGUCCUUGGUAGCAGCUUAUGAUAGAACGGACAGCAGUAGACAUAGCCCGCUUCAUCAAAGGUCUGCUGCAUGUUGGUAGCUGAUGCUGGUUCAAUAUUUGCGCCAAGAAGCAUACCACGCAUACCCUCUGUAGUAAGGCUGGUACCCAUGUGACCGACAGCCAUAGCCACAUUUAGCUGUGCAGCUCUGCAUCCCCUUCUGGAUCUCCCCACCUCUUCAUACAGUUUUUCACGGCGACUUGUAUAGUGGCACUUCUUACAUCGGAUGGAAAGGAUCCAUGCCAGGACUCGUUUUUCCUCCCCAUGCUGGUUCCAGUCCAGUGAACCAUUACAGUCUGGAAACUUUUAGCUGCCUGGUCUUCUAAGAGAAACUCCAUUCUUUGAUGACUGAUGGAAAAGCCUCAUCACUCCCUACUGCUAAAGAACCACUUAUCUUAAUCACCAGCCAUUUAUCAGUGAUCACUGUUAUCAAAGCUCCAUGGUGCGCAUGAUGCAACUUCCUGGAUGUUUGUCAACAUGUGAAACCCACGUGUAUUUUGAGGUACGACAGUAUGUCUCCAGGUUAAGUGAUUGUGUAGAUUGAUUCCCAGCAUAACGAUGAUUUGCCAAAAGAGCAUAUGAAUAGAAAAUUGGUGAUGCUUAAAAAUAUCAGCAGAAUGCAGAAAUUAAGAGACACAGAUGGACAAAAACCCUCUAUCUAAUAUAAUUUACAUAUUAGGCCUAUACAACUAGAACAUGUAACAAGUGAAAUUUAAAUGUAUGCAUAUAUUUACUGUAAAUGUAUUAUAUUCAGCGUGUACGAUAUUUGGCGGAAAUUGAUUUUUGAACAAGUUAGCGUGAAUUUGAUUUAGCGAAUUCCUUUUUGUUUUUUUAUUUAUGUGUAGAGUGUAAGACAUUUAGCGUUGUAUUUGAAUGAGCGGAAGUUGCUUUCUGCCAAAGGCGCUAAAAAGAAUACACAACCAAAUGUAAUACGUUUACAGUAUUAGAGCUGUUUUAAUGUAUACAAUUGUGUAUACAUGGUUGCUUGUUUGUUGACUCAGUGUAUAGAACAUGUACUACUAUAAUGUACAUCUUUCAUGUGUUAUUUCAAUGUGAUGUUGAAUCACAUUUAAAAUACAGCAAAGUUUUUACAGCUGAAUCCUGUUGUUUUUUUUUAUAAUUAUGUACAGUUUUGAUUCCCAACAGAUCAAAAAAUAAACAUAGAGAAUUCUUCA